rnacentral:tRNA from 1 species
GGCGGACGUAGCCAAGUGGCUCAAGGCAGU